rnacentral:rRNA from 1 species
UACGUAGGUGGCAAGCGUUGUCCGGAAUUAUUGGGCGUAAAGCGCGCGCAGGCGGUCCUUUAAGUCUGAUGUGAAAGCCCACGGCUCAACCGUGGAGGGUCAUUGGAAACUGGGGGACUUGAGUACAGAAGAGAAGAGUGGAAUUCCACGUGUAGCGGGUGAAAUGCGUAGAGAUGUGGAGGAACACCAGUGGCGAAGCGACUCUUUGGUCUGUAACUGACGCUGAGGCGCGAAAGCGUGGGGAGCAAACAGG